UCAACCAAAUUCUUAAAAAAAAAAAAAAACUGCAGCAAUAUUUAUCCUCUCCCAUAAAGAAAGGCAAUAUUAAAUUAUUUAUGUUGAAGUGAAACCCCACCGCCAAAAUCAUUCCAACCGCAAUGGGAAGACCAUCUUCCACAAUCGAAGUCCCUAAUGAACGACGCCGUUUCGACCAUCGCCGCACCACUCCUGACUCCGACCUCUCCGACGGUUACCGCCGCCGCCGCCGCCGAAGCCCUAGCUAUGACUCUUACGACCGCAACCGGGACCGCCGCCGUGAUCGCCGCCGAUCAACUUCACCUGAGCGUAGAAGCCCAAGGCCUACCGCCUACAACGACGGACUUCCUAACGGCGACGUCCUACCGAAGAAAUUCGGCCGUCGUAGCGGCGGCUCGUACCUAGACCGUGACCGCCGCCCGGAUUCUGAUUCUGACGAGGAGCUGAAAGGAUUGAGCUUCGAGGAGUACCGGAGGCUGAAGAGGCAGAAGAUGCGAAAGUCGCUGAAGCAUUGCAUCUGGAACGUCACGCCGAGCCCUCCCAGGCGCGAGAACGAACAAGAAUCGGAGGAAGAAAGAGCUGAAGAGAUCACUGUGAAAUUUGGUGUUGAAAAAGGCGAUUCGAGCGACAAGGAGGUUAAACCUAGCGAAAAAUCCAAAUCUGAACCAAAAUCGGAGAAUUUUUCCGAGUCGGAAGCUGAAUCAGAUGACUCGCGUUCGAGGACAAAGAGGAGGAGGGUUUCUGGUUUGAAACGCAGGAGAAGAUCGAAUAGCGAUAGUGAAUCAGAGGAAAAUGAAUCCGAGUCAGAGGAUAGUGAAUCUGAAUCAGACGAUUCGAUUGCAAGGAGGAAGAGAAAAAGAAGUUCAAAAUCGAAGCAUAGGAGAAGGAGAUCUAAUAAUGAUGGUGAAUCAGAGGGAAGUGAUGCUGAAGAAGAGGAGCGCAAAAGUAGGAGGGGUAAGAGGAAGAGUGGUAAGACCAGAGGGAACAGAAAAAAGAGAAGGUAUAGUGAUUCUGAUGAGAGUGAAGAGAGCGAAAGCGAUGAUUCUGACGACAGUGGAAGGAGAAAGAGGAAACAUUCUUCGCGGUCGAAGAGAAGCAGAAGAGAAAGAAGAAAACGAAGAAGUAGAAAAUCUGAAUCAGAAAAAGAGGUUUCUGAAUCAGAAGAGGAAAAGGGUUUUGGUGAUGCAAAAAACAAAGCAGUAGUUGAAGAGGUGAUGAAAACAGAGGUGGAUCCCGAGGCUUUGAAAUUGAAGGAACUAUUUGAAUCUCAGAAGAAACCGGCUUUAGAUAAUGAACCCGCUGUAGGGCCAAUGCCUUUGCCAAGGGCAGAGGGUCAUAUAAGUUAUGGGGGCGCCCUUAGGCCCGGUGAAGGUGAUGCAAUUGCACAGUAUGUUCAGCAAGGGAAGCGUAUCCCACGAAGAGGUGAAGUGGGUCUUUCUGCAGAGGAGAUUCAGAAGUUUGAGACCCUUGGUUAUGUGAUGAGUGGUAGCAGGCAUCAGAGGAUGAAUGCCAUUCGUAUUAGGAAGGAAAACCAGGUUUAUAGUGCUGAGGACAAGCGUGCUUUGGCUAUGUUUAACUACGAGGAGAAGGCCAAGAGGGAGCACAAGGUUAUGGCUGAUCUGCAGCGGCUCGUGCAGCGCCACAUUGGGCAGGAUGUUGGCCCAACUCAUGAUCCUUUCGCUGCAAAAACCUCGGAUGGUGCUGAUGCUUGAUUUCUUUCAUCCAUGGUCAGCUAGUUUUACUCUUUAUCUUGUAGUUUGUUGCACUUUUAGACUAUAUUUUGAUUGUGCUAGCUCCAUGUUUUUUCACCUUUUGUUGGUAUGUGUAGACUUGGAGAAUGAGGACAAUGUUUAUCCUUCUAAUGAAUUUGUAUGGAAUUCCUUUAUUGCUGCCAAAAGUUUAUGUGCCGAAGUACAAGAAUGGAGGAGAAUUUUGGCUCUCAGUGUGCAACACAAUUCUUUUUAUUGGUAUUGAGGCAUGUUAUAGCCAUUGGGAUGUUUUGGCUGAAAAUGCUUCAUCUGUCAUAUGCAUCGACUAUUCCGUUUCUGCGUCCCCUUCCUCUUUCGAUUCUCACGUUCAGUGAAUAUUGCUAGAAAUGGUUCUUGUUCCCUGUGUUAAAAUACUAUUCCUCAGUGCGAAUGAGCAUAACAUGUUUAAUUAAGGUCACUACUCUCUUUUCAAACCAUCAGUUGCAACAGCAAAGCUGCAUCCGGGUACUACCAGAGUACCAAUGUAUCAUCAAAUUCAUGAUUUUGCUGAGUUUGAGUUGUUGGACCUUGGUGAGUGGCAUGUCUGUUGUUUUCUUUGAAAUUGGCAGGAUUGAGAAAUGCUUGUAAUGGGUAUGGAAAAAAUUUGAUGAGUAAUUAUGACCUACCCUUGAUUGUCAGAUGUCACAUUGAAAAGAAUGACAUGACUAAUUAACUUUGUAAUGAAAACAUGGUAUAAGAAAACUUAAGAAAAUGUUAAAGUAGCA